rnacentral:rRNA from 1 species
CCGUUCAAUACUGCGGAGCUCGAGGGCAGAAGAGGGGGGUGGAAUUGCUGGUGUAGUGGUGAAAUGCGUAGAUAUCGGCAGGAACACCUGUGGCGAAAGCGGCCCCCUGGUCUGCUCCUGACACUCAGACGCGAAAGCUAGGGGAGUGAACGGGAUUAGAAACCCCGGUAAUCCUAGCCGUAAACGAUGGAUGCUAGGUGUGGGUGGUAUUGACCCCAUCCGUGCCGAAGCCAACGCGUUAAGCAUCCCGCCUGGGGACUACGGCCGCAAGGUUAAAACUCAAAGGAAUUGACGGGGACCCGUACAAGCAGCGGAGCGUGUGGUUUAAUUCGAUGCUACACGAAGAACCUUACCCAGGUUUGACAUGCAGGUAGUAGUGAAGCGAAAGCGGAACGAUCCUUCGGGAAGCCUGCACAGGUGCUGCAUGGCUGUCGUCAGCUCGUGCCGUGAGGUGUUUGGUUAAGUCCACUAACGAGCGCAACCCCUGUCGUCAGUUACAUGUGUCUGGCGAGACUGCCGGUCUUAAACCGGAGGAAGGUGGGGAUGACGUCAAGUCAGCAUGGCCUUUAUAUCUGGG